UCUCCUUCCUACUGCCCGUUAUGGGUCUCUUGGUCCCGGGGCUGCCGGUACACGGGGUAGGACCAGGCCCUGGUCCCCAUCCAUGAUGCAGCCUUCCCCCUUGUCUGGCCACUGCCCGUGCUCCCGGUUAUCCCCGGCCACACCCUGGUCUCUGUCCGCAGCCAUCCCGUUGUUCCCAUCCCUUGUCACACUCUGGCCCCCAUUUCCAGCCAGCCACGCCCUGGUCCCCGUCCCCAGGGGCAUUGUUCUCAUCCCUGUUCCCAUCCCCAGGGACACUGUCCCCCUCCCUGGCCGUGCCACGGUGCCCUGGUUCUCAGCCACGUCCCUGCCAUGGCCCCGCGCCUGUCCCGGCCCUUUCCCUGCCGUGCCCAGCCCUUCCAGCGCCUCUUUGUCUGCUCGGGCAGUGGGAACCAGCGCUGCGGGGCCCAGCCGAGGGACAAAGACUCAUCCCCCCGGGCAGCUGGGGACGAGCAGGGAGCAGGGCCAGGGGGUGAGCAACAGCGGGAGGACACAGGGGACAAAAGCCCCCAGGGCAGUUUUGGGCAGGAGGCUCGGACAGCAGCAGCUGCUGGGCGGCAGCUGGUGGUUGGGACACAGCUGGGACAGUGGGACACGCGUCCCCUGGCCACCCCUCCAUCUGCUGCAGCCCCUGCACAGCCCCCCCGAGCCACCAGCCCCACAACCCUGGGGUUUCAUACUCCUGGGGGGGGGUUCCCCCUCCUGUUUGUUCUUGCAAAGCCCACAGAGGCUGGGGGUUGUCUCCCCAAGCCAGGAGUGCUGGGGGGCUCGGGCCCUGCAGAGUGACCCCACAACACAUGCAUGGCCCCAGCUGCUGCAGGUGGAGCUGCCAGGAUGCCCCCCCUGCUGAGAAAUCAGCUUUUUUCCCUGCUGUUUCCCACAUUAUGCAGAUUUCUGGGCAGAUUCAAGGUUCCCAUGUCCCUGCUGCCAAACCAAUGUCCCCAGCACCAUCCCCAUGUCCCCGCUGCCAGCCCCAUGUCCCCACUGCCAGCCCCAUGCCCCUGCUGGUGCCCUGUUUCUGGGGCGCUGCUGGGGCUGCAAAGCUGCAGACAAAGAGGGGAUGGGAUUUGGGCAUCGCCCACCAGAACAAAGGACCAGGUGGCCCUGGCUUUGCUGAGUAGAGAAAAACCAGGAGAUUUGGCUCCCAACAGGCUGGUCCCG
rnacentral:lncRNA from 1 species